rnacentral:lncRNA from 1 species
GAAAAUAAAUACUGAUAUUAAAGUGACAUUUAAUUAAAAAAGCAAAGCUUGUGAAAGUAACAUAGUCACAGAGAGUGAGUGUCGCAGGCUCACAAACUCUAAACUCUACUGUAUAGAUGUUUCCAUGAUGCGGCUAAGAUAAUACUUUAUAUUGGCGGAAAGAAAUCUCCGUUUCUUUCAUGCGCAAAUAAACCAUGAAUAAGUUACAAAAAUGUGUUCUUUUUUUAAAUCAAACACCUUGUAAGCCCAGUGUUGAUUGUGGAUACACAGAAGAUUCACCCCCAUCUCAUAUACAAGUGAUUCUGCUUUCACUGGUAGAAUGCUAAAAUAACUCUGCAACUACAUUCCAUGUAAGCCCAGUGUUGAUUGUGGAUACAUAGAAGAUUCACCCCCAUCUCAUAUACAAGUGAUUCUGCUUUCAUUGGUAGAAUGCUAAAAAAACUCUGCAACUACAUUCUCCAAUUCCCCUUCUAGCACCCAUGCUCCUGACCAAACACAGGAUCUCCUAUCUGCUGACUUCCAUCCAACCCAAAGCUACAAGGCUGAAAUGAUAAGAAACAAUGAAUGGCAAAAAGGAAGAAAAAAUAGUAAGAAAAAUACUGGAGCAUGUACCAAAUGCAAGAUAUGAUGUCAAAUUGCACAGUUUGAAGAAGUAUGUCAAAUUGCACAGUUUGAAGAAAAAUACUGGAGCAUGUACCAAAUGAAGGACAUCAAGGUUAGUGUUUCGGUUACAUAGAUGCAUUGGAUAUCUAAAUAUUAGGAAUAUUAGAGAAGGGUUCUAAGAAUGAUGAACUCACUUAUAUAUAGUUUGUAUCUCUGCUAGAACUGGCACCAGUAGUUAAAUGGAUCUAGUUGCACGAUGUGCUGCUAUAGUAGUUUUAACAGGAAGUUGCAACAUUCAGAGCUAAAACUAAAAAGACCUUUUGCAUUUUGAAAAAAGUUGCAGCAUUGAGGAAAAAUAAUGAGGACCUACUGAGCACUAUGACCACUGUCCAUCAAAGCACGACAUCUUGAUUACAGAUCCUUCGGACAACACUCUAUAUCUUUAGAUAGAAUUGAUGUGGGACAGAAGCCGACAAAUAACAAUUUCUCAUUGAUUAUCUCUAUUUCUAGAUGUUAAUGGUAAUCAGAAUUCAAAUGCUCAAAUUUGGAAAAGGUAGAUCACCUAGCUACACUUGGAUCCGGUAGUUUAUUCCUAAAUCUGUGUCAACCAAAAAGAAAAGGCAAAAUUUGAAUAACCUGGCAUCUAACUUUAGUUAUUAUCAGAACAUCCAUUUUCAAUAAUAGUAAUAUAGUAUAUCCGAAAUAACACAGAGUAGGCCGCUCACAAUUUAUUAUUUCAUUCAGGCACAUGGAACGCACAAAAACACAGAACUAACAAUCGCAGCACACAAGAUCUGCCAACUACUGGCACCAGAUCUCACCAAACACGGUUCAAAAUGCCACACCUGAAGCUAACCUCAACCGUGGAAGAGAAAUUCAAGUGACUUACAUACAGAUGAAAGAUCAAAUAGAUUGACAACAAUCCAAAGAAUGAUAUAUAGAUCCAAGCUUAGCAGAUUGUCCUGAAUGAAAACACAAUCUGACUCACCUGAUUCACAGCAGUAUUCCUCAGUUUGUAUGUGACCAAUUUGCUAGUCACCUAUGUUUCUCCCAGAUGACCUUAUGCAAGAGACGAUGGAUAGAUAAUAACAACAACUGAAGGGAAAUAUCUACACAAGCAAAUUGAAGGGAAAUAUCUACAGAAGCAAAUUGGACACGAUUGAUUCACUUAUCGAUCAGUGAAUGAAAUCGCAUCUUCAGAGAUGUUUUCGAUGAGAAAAUGGCUAUUAUAGGACUCCAAUCGUUUGGUUUCGCUAGAAUAGGACUCUUAACAUAGGUUUCGCUAAAAUAGGACUGCAAACAAUUUAUACAAGCUAUAAUAGGAUUUUGAUCCUUUUAACCAUAUUUUCCAUCUCCUAUCUUUCUUAUUGACUAUAGUGCCCUUCUAGAAAACAAACGAUGCUGUCCGCCGCCUUGCCUGCCUGCCUUGCUGGCCGCCGCCUUGGCUGGCUUGCUGGGCUGGCCGCCGCCUUGCCUGGCUUGCUGGCCGCCUUGGCUGGCUGGCUGGCUGGCCGCCGUGGCCAUGGCUGGCUCCAGCGUGGCCAUGCCUAGGUACAGCGUGGAGGAGGAAGUGGAGCCGCGGCGUGGAGGAAGAAGGGCCGCUACGUGGAGGAGGAAGGGCGGCGGCAUGAGCAGGAAGGACGGGCGGCGGCGGCGGUAGCCGAAGAACCGGUAAAGAAGGUGAAUCGAUCGAUCGAUCGUUUUCCCUCAAGGGCACUAUGGUCAUUAUGAAAAAAUAAAUAUAUUUAGGAGAUGGAAAAUAUGGUUAAAAGGAUCAAAAUCCUAUUAUAGCCUGUACAAAUUUGUUUGCAGUCCUAUUUUAGCAAAACCCAUGUUACGAG